rnacentral:tRNA from 1 species
GUCAACAUAGUUUAAGAAAACUUAGGAUGUGGAUCUAAAAACGGAAGCUAAAACCUUCUUGUUGAC